AAAUACUCCUGACUGACCGAUAGUGAACCAGUACCGUGAGGGAAAGGCGAAAAGAACCCCGGCGAGGGGAGUGAAAAAGAACCUGAAACCGUGUACGUACAAGCAGUGGGAGCACAGAGCAAUCUGUGUGACUGCGUACCUUUUGUAUAAUGGGUCAGCGACUUAUAUUCUGUAGCAAGGUUAACCGAAUAGGGGAGCCGAAGGGAAACCGAGUCUUAACUGGGCGUUAAGUUGCAGGGUAUAGACCCGAAA
rnacentral:rRNA from 1 species